UGGGGAAUAUUGCACAAUGGAGGAAACUCUGAUGCAGCGACGCCGCGUGAAGGAAGAAGGUCUUCGGAUCGUAAACUUCUAUCAGCAAGGAAGAAAAUGACAGUACUUGACUAAGAAGCCCCGGCUAACUACGUGCCAGCAGCCGCGGUAAUACGUAGGGGGCAAGCGUUAUCCGGAAUUACUGGGUGUAAAGGGUACGUAGGCGGUAUAGUAAGUCAGAUGUGAAAGCCCCGGGCUCAACCUGGGGACUGCAUUUGAAACUGCUUUACUAGAGUGCAGGAGAGGUAAGUGGAAUUCCUAGUGUAGCGGUGAAAUGCGUAGAUAUUAGGAGGAACACCAGUGGCGAAGGCGACUUACUGGACUGUAACUGACGCUGAGGUACGAAAGCGUGGGGAGCGAA
rnacentral:rRNA from 1 species